GAUGAAGAACGUAGCGAAAUGCGAUAACUAAUGUGAAUUGCAGAAUUCCGUGAAUCAUCGAGUCUUUGAACGCACAUUGCGCCCCCUGGUAUUCCGGGGGGCAUGCCUGUCCGAGCGUCAUUGCAACCCUCAAGCACGGCUUGUCUAAUGGGCGGUUCGUCUGCGGCCAUCCGCCGGAGACGCCCCCGAAAUGCAGUGGGGAUGUUCGCUAAAUCGCAGCGUCAGGAAUGGAAAUAAACAAUGCUGACGGCUCGAUGUCGGACGUCCACCUAAGGCGUGCCGCCCCCCGGGGUGUGCCGCCCAACCUCUCUCGGUUGACCUCGGAUCAGGUAGGGAUACCCGCUGAACUUAAGCAUAUCAAUAAGCGGAGGA
rnacentral:misc_RNA from 1 species